rnacentral:rRNA from 1 species
GACGAACUGCCCAAACGUUGUUCGGAAUCACUGGGCGUAAAGGGUGCGUAGGCGGCCUAUUAAGUCAGGGGUGAAAGACGGUGGCUCAACCAUCGCAGUGCCUUUGAUACUGAUAGGCUUGAAUACACUAGAGGUAGGCGGAAUGUGACAAGUAGCGGUGAAAUGCAUAGAUAUGUCACAGAACACCGAUUGCGAAGGCAGCUUACUAUGGUGUCAUUGACGCUGAGGCACGAAAGCGUGGGGAUCAAACAGG